rnacentral:lncRNA from 1 species
AUGUCUAGUGACUCCAUGGAUUAUAACAGAAAACAUGGCAGCCCAAAGGGAAUGGAUCCAAUGUUGUCAUCAAGAGCAACUGAAAUGAGAUUGUUAACUUUGAUAGUAUGAAUUUAAAGGAGUCUCUUUUAGGGGUAUUCCAUGUUUGUGGUUUUGAGAAGCCUCCAGCUAUUCAGCCCAGAGCUAUUGUUCCUUGUAUUAAAGAUCCAAAACGUAAUUCUGGCACUUGGAGACUAUAUGGGAGAAACUUGUCGUGCCUGUAUUGGUGGAACAAAUGUUCAAAAUUAAAUGCAAAAACUGUAGGCAGAAGCACCACAUACUGUUGCUAGUACACCAUGGAGAGUGUUUGAUAUGCUAAACAUAAGAUAUUUUUCUCCAAGGUGGAUCAAAAUGUUUGUUUUGGAUGAUGCAGAUGAAAUGUUGAGCUGAGGGUUUAAGGAUGAAAUCUAUGAGAUUUUCCAAAAAUUAAAUAGAAGUAUUCAGGUUGUGUUGCUUUCUGCCACAAUGCCAACUGAUGUGUUGGAAGUGACCAAAAAAAUUCAUGAGAGAUCCAGUUUAAAUUCUGGUGAAAAAGGAAGAAGGAAUCAAACAGUUUUACAUUAAUGUUGAAAGAGAGGAAUGGAAGUUGACUACACUUUGUGACUUGUACGAGACACUGACUAUUAUGCAGGCUGUCAUUUUUCCCAAUGCAAGGUAAUGCAAGGUAUGAGGUGGACUGGCUGACUGAGAAAAUGCAUGCCAGAGACUUCAUAAUUUCUGUUCUGCAUGGUGACAUGGACCAGAAGGAGAGAGAUGUUAUCAUGAGGGAAUUCUGAUCAGAGUCAAGUGGUGUUCUGAUCACUACUGGCUUGAUGGUUCACGAGACUGAUGUGCAACAAGUGUCUUUGGUUAUAAACUAUGAUCUAACUACCAAUAAUGAAAACUGUAUUCACAGAAUUGGCAGAGGUGUGGCUAUAAAUUUUGUUACUGAAGAGGACAAAAUAAUUCUUCAUGACAUUGAGACUUUCUACAAUAAUACAGUGGAAGAAAUGCCCAUGAAUGUGACUAACUUUAUU